rnacentral:lncRNA from 1 species
AGUGAAUCUUUUUCAGGAGAGUAGACAGAAGAACAAUUAUACAUUAUAUGGUCUUCGUCAUAUGAUGGACAUGGUGUACUAUUUUGCAGAUUUUAAAGCCAGCCUUCACUGUUUUGGUUGAUCACAAAAUGAAAAGUUUCCUCUUACUAAUUCGUGGAACUCACAGUGUCAAGGACACUUUGACAGCUGUUACUGGUGCAGUGGUACCUUUCCAUCAUACAGUGGUACAUGAUGGAGGAGUCAGCAACUUGGUUUUAGGUUAUGCCCAUUGCGGAAUGGUUGCAGCUGCUAGGUGGAUUGCAAAACUUGCUACUCCUUGUCUAGAGAAAGCCCUUAGCACUCAUCCUGAUUACAAACUUACGGUACCAUACACUGUGUUUUCCACUUGUGCUUCCUUUUGUUUUCUUUAUUUAUGUUCAAUAAUCUGAAUUGUGACAAUGAACUGCUAUCAGAGAUCACCACAUCUACGAGAGUCAUCAUCUUUUAAAUUUGUAGUGCAUAUAGUACAUCUUGAUAUAUUAUAAACAGGAAGAAGGUUUUUUUCUUUGGUGCAUCACUUGUUUUAUCGUUUAUAUAUUUCAUUUCACAAAUCCAUACAUCCUUCGUAGAUUCAAUGCUUUUCUAAAAGUAUUCCAUGUUAAUUUUUAUUUUUUUUGGUUGUGUGUGCUUCAUUUCUAUAUCGUUCUUCAGAUACUGUGUGAGUUCUGAGCAUAGCUAUUUUUUCAAAAAGUUCACAUCCUCGGUGAGGCAUGUGUUUCGUUUCAAAUUAUUUGUCAUGUUCAUGGUUAUAGAUAUUUGUUUCUGUUGUCUACAGAUUGUAGGACAUUCUUUGGGUGGGGGCACUGCUGCACUUUUGACAUAUGUAUUACGUGAACGGAAAGAAAUGUCAACCACAAACUGCGUUGCAUUUGCUCCAGGUUCAUUUAUAUUGUAAUACGAAAUUAAUCCUCUUCAUUUUCCUGUGUAUUCUGAUAAUUGUUUACCUGUGCUUUUGUUAAGAUUUUGCUUUCAUCAGGCAGGAUCUAAUAUUUAGGGGCUUAAUUUUAUUUCUGAUGCUUCUGUUUUUUACUACCUUGAGCAGCUGCUUGUAUGACGUGGGAGUUAGCUGAAUCAGGAGCCGACUUUGUUACUUCCGUGAUAAAUGGAGCAGAUUUGGUGCCUACAUUCUCUGCUGCUUCAGUGGAUGAUUUGCGCACUGAGGUAUUAAUGGAUAUCUUUCAUCAAGUUUCUUUUCAGUCGUUUUUUUCUUUUUGCUUGGCUUGUUGUAAUGUAAUAUGAAGAUACUCUCUUUUUUUGCUUAUGUACUCCUUAUUAUUGGGAUUUUUUUUAUUUUUUUGAUAAUUCUAUGUUAUUCUAGUGUUUUUGAUUAAUUGAAUAUUUGUACUUGAUAAGGCAGGAGGAGCAUCUCUAGUAGAAAUCCAAGUUUGGAAAAAUAUGUGGCUUGUUUUUCUCUGUUAUUAUGUUGAUCACGUCUCUUUAUCAUUGAUUUAACCCUAGUAAAUUGUGGAGCAUCUGCACAGGAAUAUUUGUCUAUGUGGUUGCAUAGUUUAAUAGAACUGCUCACUGAAGAAAGCAGCUUGCUCCACAGCGGGUUCCUACUACUCUUGGGUAAGACGGAUAUCAUGAAUACCUUCCAGGUGGCAUAAUUAUUACACGUUGCUCAUUUUCGUUUGGGUAAUAGUUAAAAAUGGUGGUGCAUGAAGCACCUGUCGUAAAAUGCAAUUCAUUUGAAACCGUGAAAUGGGAGGUGACCCUAAAUCUUAAACAUAAAUCUAUUGUCAUUAUUUAUAUAUGGCAUUAGAUACUAUUAAUAAUUUGUAACUAUUCUUCUCCUCUAUUUGUACACCGUCACUCAUCUCUCAAUUCAUGAUAUAUGAAACCAUCAAGGAGCGUAGCUCAUGGAAAUUGGAGCUCCAUUUUAACAUAUGCCUUGCAUUUACUUCAAGACUAUGGCAAAAACCCAUUUUGCUCCCCUCUUUUGAUGUGAAACCAAGUGGGUUUUAAUUUGUCAGUUCUCACAUACAAAAGGGCAUCAUGAGUAAACUCUGCCUCUUUUCCUCCUUUAUGAGUUUCCAAGAUUGUGCUAGGUGCUUUUAAGUGAAGGAGAAGGCUUAUCGAGAAAAUUCAGGGAAAUUAAAAAAAUGGAAAAACCUUCAGAGAGAGGGAGGUAAUGCAUGGAUGGUUGGCAGACUUAAACAAUUAUAAAAAAUUAUGCCCUCUUAAAAGGCAGGGUGUUCCAGAAGUAAGAGGAAAAAGUAAAAACUUGUAUUAAUUCUUUGGCCGACUGGUAUUGGACGGUUUUGACUUUUUGGUGACCUGUAUGGAUAUGAAUAUAACUUGGAUGGAAAGGUGGCUGGGUCUUGAUCCUAGCGUUGGAUCGGCCAACUCUGGUAGCAUUUGCUACAAGUUGAUGUUUGCAAAAGUUUUCUUCCUCCAGAAGGAGCAGGCUGGGAAGUAUUGCCCUAAGAGGACUUCAUAUGUCUACAGGGGCCAUAAUAGGUGCAGGCCCUGUCCAAUCAUAUUCGUAUAUUUUUAGUACUCAGCACAAUAUGUUAAAGAAGCGUGACAUGCUAGAUUUGGGUUGGGCAUGUAUCUUUUAGAAGCUAAAAUAUGUGGUGACUAUGAGUAUUUCACUGUCUUCAAUCAGAAAUGUGUUUCCCUUGUUUUAGUUUCGCUAGAUAUUUGGCACGAUCCCACCUUUGCGAUUGGGAUUGAAUUUUUGGUUUUUAAGUAUUUGGGUUCUACUUCAUGCUUUAUAUCCAAUGUUGAAUGAUUUUCCGUGAGUGACAUUGCAAUCUGCCAGCAAAUAUAUUUCAAGGUGUCACAUAAUAUCACAUUCUCGAGAUAUGCAUAAAUAUGACCAUCAAAGCUUGAUGUCCUUAUGUUGAUUAUUUCCUAUAUUAUUACAUAUAAUUUUAUUUGAUAUAUUUUUGUAGUUAAUGUUUUUUCUCAACUUUUUGCAGGUUACGGCUUCUGCUUGGUUGAAUGACCUGAGGAAUCAGAUUGAACGCACCAGGGUUCUGAGCACAGUUUAUCGCUCUGCUUCAGCUUUGGGUUCUCGACUUCCAUCCAUGGCCAGUGCUAAAGCCAAAGUUGCUGGUGCUGGUGCAAUAUUACGUCCAGUUUCCAGCGGUACUCAGGUAUGUAUAUUGCGGUCAUGCAAUCAGUUCUGCUUUGGAUUGUUGUGGCAAGGGAAAAUAGCAGCUGAGGUGCCCCAACCUUUGAUGUGUUGCACUUUGGUCUGUAACCUCUAAUAUGAAGCAUUUUUGUCCCAAGGUUUCAUUUUAGUUUUAGUAGCACAUGGUCCUCAGGUCGACAACUUUACCCAUAUUUUUAGUCAACAAGUCAAAAUUUUAUUAAAAAAGACGAUUUCACCCUUAUUUUAUGUAGACAAAAAAUGAAAUAAAUAACCAAAGAAACAAUUAGGAAUAAAAGAGAAGGCAAAGGAAAAAUGGGAAAAAAACAAAGAGAACAAUUUGGGUUCUCUUCUCCAGUCGGUCACCCCACCACCAUACCACCCUCCUCUAAUCUCCAUUUGCCACCAGUGACCAGCCAACCAUACUUGUAGAGACAUAAACCAGCUGCAACCAACAACCUUCAAAACUGAACCCUCAGAACCCCCAAGUCUAGUCUGUAUUCAACCACCCAAAGAAAUAAAACUGCGAGAGAGAUUGUUCAAUAUGUUUAUAGCAACACAGAAAAAAAAAUGCUAGUUUAAGCAUGUCUCCAUAAAUUUUAGGUAAAAAUUGUACUUGUGAAUUUUUUCUUUCUUUCUCCUUGUCUCUGUUAAAUGAAAAAUGAAGGAAUACUCUAGUAACAUUCAUUUUAAUUUUAUACUAAAUUUCUUGUACGGUCUAAUCCGGUUCGCCAAACACACCCUUGACGGUUUUGCUUUAUGCACUAGAAGUACAUCUCUGAUUGACACUGUGAUAUGGGUUUGAGAAUAUGACCCUAGAGGCUGUCCAUUUUGCCUUCCCUAUCAGUACCACUAACAAAAUACUGGGAGCUUCAUAAUGUGAGGGGUGGUAUUACCUUUAACCAUAUGUGCCUAUGUAUACUUUUUGAUCUUUAUAAUUCCAGAUGUAUUUAGUUCUAUUAUAUAGGACUGAUGUUGUUGUGUUAACUAGGUUGUUAUGAAGAGAGCACAAAGCAUGGCUCAGGCAGCUUGGUCACGCCCUUACCUACGCUCAUGGUCAUGCAUAGGUCCACGUCGUCGAUCCUCAAUUGCUCAGAUAAAUUAUAAUGAAGGAGAAGACUCAUCAGGAUCUUCUUCAACUCAAAGAGAAACUUCGGAGCCUUUUCUCACGACCACUGAAGAGACAAGAACGGCUAUUGAAAAUAUGGAACUUCCUGUAUCUUCUUCUGAUGGAAUGGUUGAGAGUUCAGACAACUUUAUAGAUGAGGUUGGUGUCUCAGAUAGUAUGGCUACUAAGGAUGAUGAUGACGAGGUUGCGUAUGAUGUAAGGCAUGAAGAUCACACAAUGGAAAUAGAGUUGUGGGAACAACUCGAGCUCAAGCUUAAUGAGCAAGCUGAUAGUGGUGAAGCCGAUGUGGCCAAGGAAAUUAGGGAAGAAGAAGAAGCAGCCAUUGCAGAAGUAAGUGACAGCCAGACCCAAAGCUCUAUCCCAGAUGCCAAGGAGGUGCAUAGAUUUUUCCCUCCGGGAAAGAUAAUGCAUAUUGUGACACUAACAUCCGACGAAGUGGGCCGUGAGAGUGAUAGCAGUAUUUCCAAUGACGGGGACCAAAGCCAGCCGGAGGAAGAGGCGAAGGUUGGAAUUUUUCUCACUCCCAGGUCAUUGUAUAGUAAAUUAAGGCUAUCGCAUACCAUGAUAAACGACCAUUUUAUGCCGGCUUAUAGAAGACGAAUUGAAAAGCUGAUUAAAGAACUUGAGAAUGAAGUGACUUCUGAUACACACAAUUGUAGCUGAGAAAUUGAACAGGAAGUGCUGUAAACUGUUGGUAGUGAAUUUUGGUCGCAUCUUAAGUGUUAGCAUCAAGAGGACUACACAUAUCCUUAAAGGUGACGUCUUUAACCACAAUUCUUUGUUCUGAAAAUGAUUUUGACAUGUGCAUAGGCUUAAAGAGUUUUCAUUUCCAUUGAUAGUGAGAGUCCCUUUCGCAAUCAUGAAUUCUAUAUUACAUCAUUAAAAGCAUUAUUUUCUUUGGUCCAUCGUCUAUUAUAAAUACACCAAUCACCAUAUGAAUGAGAAAAUGUUGCCUAACUUAUUUAACAAUUUUAAUGCCCACUUGACUCUUUGCACCACUUUGAAUCUCUAAAUCAUUUCAUUUAAUUCUUAAUUUGCUUUGAAAAGACAUUCUCUUUUUCUUGGCCACCCAUAAUUUGCACGUAAUGAUCCUACAAUCGCUAGUGUGUACGCACGAAUAUAUUCAAGUUUAUACACGAGGACGAGGAAGGUAAACGUGAAAGAAUGUGUUACAAGAGACGCAUAAGAAGUCGACUAGAAGUUCGUACACCUCCAAAUUUGUUUCUUGAUUCUAUUUUGAUCUUAUUCGCAAAAGACCAACAAUAAGAUUCAUUCUAGUUUAUCAAAAUCCAAGAAAAAUUUAAAAUGGAUAUGAAGUAGAAGAGGCAAAAGUCGGAGCAAAAAUGGCCUUUGAUUUGUCCAUGCAUUUAUUUCUUAGAAUGGGCAUGCAAAGUCUACCAUAGUUUGGGGCAAAAUUAAAUGAGGUAGAUAUAAAUUAAUGAGAAUGUGAAAGAAACCUAACAUUGCAUCAAACGAUUUCUUCUUUGCAUAAUAAAAAAGAAUGAUUUUCUUUCUUUUUUUUUUAUUAUUAUUUUAGUGUAAAAAAUGAAUAAAAGUUUUUAGUUUCACAUUUGGAUAGUCCUGAAAUCUAGCUGGAAAAUGAAAAUAACACGUCUGAGUGGAACACGUGGCAACAAACCAUUGAUUGAUACGGCAUAAAGAAAGCAACAUAAUCCUUCUUCUUUAUAUACGCAGAUAACACGGAGUCGACGAAUAACAGUAAUAUACAAAUUACUUCAUACCAGCGACUGUUUACGUGUACUCUACCUCCAUUAAUCGAUCUCUCUUUUUAAAAUUUAUUUGAUUUGAUUUGAUUGAUUCACAUUCAUAUUCAAAAAUCUCUCUAUACCAAAUCAUCGUAUCCAGUUUUCUGAAAUGUCUUUCAUGCACACGUUCUUCGUUCCUGAGGAAGCCAAGGUGGGCGACUGGGAGAAGGAAAGAUAAGAAAACCCAAAUUAAACAGGAUUUACUUGUAGAUAUCCCUCUUGAUCAGGUAAUUUCUUGGCAGAAUUCUGUUUUUUAUUUCAUGAAAAACCCAUGUUUAGAUUCAUCAUGUUUGUGUGAAUUUGUGGUUUUUCAGGCAUGUCGACGAGUGUAUUCGGUGAUUCGAUGGUGAAAAUUACAGGACAAAAUGAGCUUGAUUUUGUCGAAUGCGAUUGCUGUGGAUUGACAGAGGAAUGCACCCUGUCCUACAUAGAGACAGUACGCGAGCGUUAUAAGGGAAAAUGGAUUUGUGGGCUCUGUUCCGAGGCCGUAAACGAUGAAGUUAAGCAAAAAUCAAUAAGCCCAGAAGAGGCCAUGGCUCGCCAUUUCAGCUUCUGCUACAAAUUUAGGUUGGCUGGGCCACCGCCGGACCCAACCCGGCAUUUGAUCACCGCCAUGAGACAGGUUUUAAGAAAAAGCUUAGACAGUCCCAAGUUCAUAAGGUCGAUGCCAAGUAGUCCCACGAAGAACAGGGGAGAUAUUAGCAUGGGGCUUACUCGAUCGGAGAGCUGUAUUCCGAGUCUGUCUGAAUCGGUUUGUUGUGGAAUUGAUGAAGAUUGUGAAUAACCAGUAAAUUCAAAGUUUCACUGUGUAUAAACAAGAAACCAAUGAAGUUUAACUCAAAAAGUGCUUAAUUCAGAUGUAUCAAUAUCAUCAAUCAUGUUAAGAAAUGAAAAUGGAAAUAAAAAUUACUUGCCUAUAAUUUGUGUCUGGUGUUUUCUUUCAAUUAUGUGGUUAACAAUAAUUGAGAUUCAUAUUCAGAUUUUAUAAUGAUAGGCUAUUGUCAUGUCUGUAUCUUGACGCGAAUCGAAUUGAAUACAAGCAAGCAAUUUG